ACAUAGGGUGCAAGCGUUGUCCGGAUUUAUUGGGCGUAAAGAGUUCGUAGGCGGUUUUUCGCGUCGGAUGUGAAAACUCAGGGCUCAACCCUGAGCCUGCAUUCGAUACGGGAAGACUCGAGGACGGCAGGGGAGACUGGAACUUCUGGUGUAGCGGUGGAAUGCGCAGAUAUCAGAAAGAACACCAAUGGCGAAGGCAGGUCUCUGGGCCGAUCCUGACGCUGAGGAACGAAAGCGUGGGGAGCAAACAGGAUUAGAUACCCUGGUAGUCCACGCCGUAAACUAUGGACGCUAGGUGUGGGGGACAUUCCACGUUCUCUGCGCCGCAGCUAACGCAUUAAGCGUCCCGCCUGGGGAGUACGACCGCAAGGUUA
rnacentral:rRNA from 1 species